GGCGCCGGAGCUUGUAUCUGCACUUGCGGUUGCCGGUGCUGCUGCUGCUGUGGAGACAUCAGUGGAGGUACAUGGUGCUGAAAAUAGAGCUGCUGUUGCUGGUGCUGGUGAUGAUGAUGUUGUUGUUGAAGGGCAAAAUGGGAAUAAAACUGCUGUUGAGCUUGAGUGUUAGCAAAUUGUGGGUGGUUUAAGAGGGUAAAAUGGUCUUUAACCAUCAACGGAGGAGAAAUAAGCUGCGGUGGCUGUGAUCGGAGAAGAUUGAUCUGAUCACUGAUAAACUCCGCUUUAUGUGAAAGGUCUUGUCCAAGUUUUGCUCCGAGCUGUUGUACGACGCAGUUUAACGAUGUAACGGCGUUAGGGUCCGAUUGACGGAGCAAAUUCUCUACACCUCUAGCUAUUUCCUG
rnacentral:misc_RNA from 1 species